AUUAAAUUUAUAAAAACGAUUAAUUUGAAGCAAUGCGGACAUUUUUUGCGUGAUAGAACUUCUUGUUUUGAACACGCUAACCUAUAUUGUUCAUUGCAUAGUAAAAUUUGUCUCAUAUUGUUAGUUUUGUUUAAACAAGCUUUGAACCAAGAGGAACACUCUCAGAAAACACAAACAAGUUGUGCUAUGAUAUGUUUUUGUCUUCAAUCUUAUAUUUCUUACAUGGUUAUAUAAAAGUGGAUGGGGAGCAACUCAAUUCAAUUUUUGAGAUUGUAUAUAGUUUACGGCCUCAGUGCCGUUUGCAUAUCCGAACGUCUGCCGUCACUUCCAGUCGUCACCGGAGGGAAAUGAAAAACCUUUAUUUUUAAUUUUUUUUGACUUGAUUUUUUUUAAUGUUUUUAUGUAAAGGGACGCUCUCAAGACUUCCGAAUAUGACAUUUGUUUUAUAAUUAAUCCACGCAUUCUCGAAAUUUUGCAUAUUCCGGCCAAGACCUAAGCAAACGACGCUGAGAUACAGACCGCACAUUCCCUACAAAUCAUUCCGGUGAUCUUCUAGACGAGGACGUCUCAUUUUUCGAAGCGCGAGGGAAUUAUCAUGGAGUGAAAUUUGAGUAACUUUUAUCUAUUAAUAAAUAUACCUUUCCCUUUGUACAAGACAAUUAUGCACUUCAGUUAUAAUUGCUUAAUCAUUAUAUUAACACUUACACCUCACCUUUGAUUUAAUUGACUCACUCAUAUUGAAGUUUUACUCUAUGACAUAUGUCACUCGUGCUUAAGUGCUUAUUUCUAUUGUUUUCAAUUCUUAUUUAUAUUGUGUUAUACACCAUUGUCAUGAGAGAGGAAUUAGGUUUCGGAUUGUUCGGGUGUAGUUUUUAGAUUCCCAGAAAUCACCCAUACCGACCUAAAGUUCUAAUAAAGUGCUUUUUACCAU
rnacentral:sRNA from 1 species